rnacentral:rRNA from 1 species
AGAUUGAACGCUGGCGGCAGGCCUAACACAUGCAAGUCGAGCGGUAGAGAGGUGCUUGCAUCUCUUGAGAGCGGCGGACGGGUGAGUAAUGCCUAGGAAUCUGCCUAGUGGUGGGGGAUAACGUUCGGAAACGGACGCUAAUACCGCAUACGUCCUACGGGAGAAAGGCGGGGGACCUUCGGGCCUCGCGCCAUUAGAUGAGCCUAGGUCGGAUUAGCUAGUUGGUGAGGUAAUGGCUCACCAAGGCGACGAUCCGUAACUGGUCUGAGAGGAUGAUCAGUCACACUGGAACUGAGACACGGUCCAGACUCCGUACGGGAGGCAGCAGUGGGGAAUAGUUGGACAAGUGGGACGAAAAGCCUAGG